rnacentral:lncRNA from 1 species
UAAUUUUGAACUACCGGUUGAUAUUAGUUUUGAUCGAUGGCUAUAAAUGAAGUUCUCGUCGAAAAUUCUUUUUUGGACUUUUCAUAUCAUUUUUUAAAUAUUUUUUGGGGGAAAAUUGGAUAGUUAGAUAAUUAGGGUCAUGCCCGAUUAUUAGUUCUUUUUAGUGUGGGUUUAUUUGUCCUUUUUCCUUUUAAAAAAGAAUAUUUGAAUACUUUGGGGAUUUAAAUAAGAUUUCUU